UACGUAGGGUGCGAGCGUUGUCCGGAAUUAUUGGGCGUAAAGAGCUUGUAGGCGGUUUGUCGCGUCUGCUGUGAAAAUCCGGGGCUCAACCCCGGACUUGCAGUGGGUACGGGCAGACUAGAGUGUGGUUGGGGAGACUGGAAUUCCUGGUGUAGCGGUGGAAUGCGCAGAUAUCAGGAGGAACACCGAUGGCGAAGGCAGGUCUCUGGGCCACUACUGACGCUGAGAAGCGAAAGCAUGGGGAGCGAACAGG
rnacentral:rRNA from 1 species